CUUAUACACUUUACAUGAUACCACUUUUCACUUAUACCACCACUCAAAGGACAUUUUCAUAAAUAGCACAUUUAUUAAUUGGUAAAAGACUAAACUAACCUUAUCUUUACUUCAAUCUAUCGUCUCUUUCUUCUCCACCAUCGUGAUCCUUCUUCUCUCUCCUUUCGGAUCCACCGUCUCUCUCUCCGUCGGAUCCACCGUCUCUCUCUCCGUCAGAUCUGCCGUCUCUCUUUCCGAGAUCCAUCGUCUCUCUCCCUGUGGAGAUCGUUCUUCUCUCUCCGUUGAGAUCUGUCGUCAUCUCCGACGAGAUCCAUCGUCGUCUCCAUUGAAUUCCAUCGUCACUCUCUCUCACGCAUCUAGCGAUAAGCAAUUACGAGAAUCACGAUUCAAAACCUCAAAGAUCUUGGCUCCUCUCCACGAUUCACACUGGAGAGCUUUGUGUUUGGAGCCAGACAAAAACAAACAGUGCAACCUGGCCAUCUGCUUGAUGCGUAUGGGUCGAAUCCCAGAAGCUAAAUCUCUGAUUGAUGCUGUGAGAGAUUCUUCUGCAGAGAUUGAGUUCGGAGAUGAACUGUUCACGAAGUCUUACGACAGAGCCGGUGAGAUGUUAGCAGAAGUGGAAUCCUAAAGAUCCAGAAGAUGGUCUUUCGGAUAAGUUCUAUGCGGGAUGUUCAUUUGCAAACGGAACAAUGAAGGAAAACAAAGCUCCUCGAAACGCAAACAGGAACCACUCGCAUGUUCCUCCUUCUUCAGCAUCUGUUAGACAAACGUGAGAGAGGCUCUGUUGGUCCUAGGAUGGAUGAAACUGGCCCUUAUCUUCUCACUGAGAAGGUUGAUCAAUUGCAAAGUUCUGAUACAAGGGAAAGGAAGGUAGUCUUGCUGCAGCUUGGGCUCUAGCUAAUCUAUAUUAUCUUGCAUGUUAGAAACCUCUUAUAAGGGUUUAUAAAAUAUUUAUAAGAACUUAUAAAUCAUUUAUAAGGUUUUAUAAAUAUAUUUAUAAAAGUUUAUGAAUCUGUAUAUAAGGGUUUAUAAAAAUAUUAUAAGAGUUUAAUAAUCUUCAUACCACAAUUUAUAAGAGUUAAUAAAUCUUUUUCAAGAGUUUAUAAAUCUUUACAAACAUUUAGUAGUAAAAUAUUCAUAAAGCAAGUGUCUAUAAUUCUAAUAUAAAUGUUUGUAAAUUAUUAUAAUAAAUAAAAGAUUAUUUAUAAUGGUUUAUAAAAUAAUUAAUAAGACUUUAUAAAAUCAGUCUAUAAAGUUUUUAAAUAUAUUAUUAAAGUAUAAUUCAUUUAUAAGAGUUUAUAAAAUCAGUUUAUAAGGCUUUAUAAGGAUUAUAAAUAAUUAAUAAAUAUUUAUGAAUAAUUUAUGAAGAUUUAAAAAUCAUUUAUAAACCUUUAUCAAUAGUUUAUAUAUAUUUCUCAUGUGGUGGAAAACAGCGAGAUGAGGCAGCAGAGGUUCGUGGGGAUAUUGAGUUUGCUGUAUAUCGUUGCGUUCUUAGCUAAGAAUAAGAGCGAGUGUCUCCAAGAAGAAUGGGGAGUGUUGGAGAAGUCUCCGGAGGCGGCUUUAGAUGUGGAUCAGGCGAUCUUCGUGGCUGUUUUGUGGUGAAUUAUAGAAUAUUUAUGGAUGUUGAAUUGUUCUUGAGUGUAGAUUUGCUCAUGAAUCAUGAUUGAAUCUUACCGAGUCUAUAUAUAUAUCCUUUAGUUGAUUGUGGAUGAUGUUAAUCAUGUACCUCUGUUUGCUAAGAAAAUCUGAGAAAUGAUAUAAUUGUUUUAUAAAGAAGAGGCAGAAAAACCAUAUCAAAUUAUAUCAUCAUAAUAAAAUCCUUAUAAGGCUUUAUAAAGAUAAUAAAUAAUUUAUAAAUGUUUAUAAAUCAUUUAUGAAAAUUUAGAAAUCAUUUAUAAACCUUUAUCAAUAGUAUAUAUAUAUUCCUAUAAAUGAUUUAUAAACCUUUAUAAAAUCACUUAUAAGAAUAUACCAAAUAUUUAUAAGGUUUUAUAAAAUCAUUUAUAAAUAUUUAGAAAGGUAAUUUCAUUUAUAAAGUCUUAAAAAUAAUUUAUAUGAAUAUAUAGAAACUUUUUAUACGAAUAUAUAGAAACUUUUUGUAAGGGUCUAUAAAUCAUUUAUAAGAAUUUGUAGAAUAUCAAAAGGUAAUUAUUUUAUGAAGUCUUAUAACAGUUUAUAGAGGCUUAUAAAUCUGUAUAUAAGGGUUUAUAAAAAUAUUAUAAGAGUUUAAUAAUCUACAUCGCAUAAUUUGUAAGAGUUAAUAAAUCUUUUUCAAGAGUUUAUAAAUUUUUUAUAAGAUUUUAUAAAUCUUUACAUUUAGAAGUAAAAUAUUCAUAAAGCUAUUAUAAGUUUAAAAAGUAAAAUCGGUGAUAUAAAUACAUGAAGAUGCUUGUUACUAAUUUUUUUUAAAAAGAAACUAGAGUAAAUGUAAAGUACAAAUGAUUUACAGCUUACAAUCACUUAUAAAAACACGUGUUACACAUAUAUAUUACAGAAAGACAUGUGUCUUGUUUCUCUUAUAUGUGUCAAGAACAUAUAUAUUACAUAUAAAAACACGUGUCUUCUCUCUUUUUCUGCAACUCCAAUCUUCUUGAAAAUUGUGUUUCUCUCUGAAAACAUAAAAACAUACGGCUAAAUAUAUAUAUAUAUAUAUAUAUAUUGUUUUACGGUUUUUUUUAUAAGGCCUUAUAAAUAUAAAAAUUGUAAUAAAUACCUCAAGCGGGUUACCUUUAUAAAAUCACUUAUAAAUUUUAUAAGAGCUUAUAAAACAUUGUAUCAAUCAUCUAUAAAAUUUUUAUAACAUAUAUAAAUAUUUAUAAAACUAUUUAAAAGGGUUUAUAAAACUAUUUACAAAUACUUAUAAGCUAUUUAUAAGAGCUUUUACAUUUAUUUAUAAGUGUUCAUAAAUUAAUUUACAAGGUUUAUAAAUCUAUUUAUAAGAGUUUAUAAAUCACCAAAUUAACCAACUUUCCACCAUUUCUUUGCUUAUUAAAGAACAUCAUUCUUUUACAGUUUCUUUUAUAAGACCUUAUAAAAAGGUAUAAUUGAGCAUUAAGAUGAUUGAGCAUUGAGAGAUACUUGGGGUUUCUGAAGUUAUAAUGGUUUAUAAAAAUUUAUAAAGGGUUUACAAAACCACAAUGUUAGAUGAACGCCUCAGUUCUGCAGAUGCACAUAAUGUAUCCAGACCAUAUAUAUAGCUUUCUAGGACCUUUCUCACAGCAAUAGCAAAAGCCUGAUUAACAAGAAUAUAGCAGCUCUUGUUAUUGGCUUCUUCAUUUUCACCUACUUUACAGCUCCCCCCUGUCUCUCAACUUCCAACUUGAAGUUCAUGAAAUGAGUCUACGAAAUUAUGGAGAAGAAAGACCAAAGGACCAAAAGAGCCUAUGUUUCAAAGAAUCUGUCCCAAGGCGUCAGUGCUUGAUAACCGAUGCCACAACCUCAGACUUUGGUGGGUUGUCCUAUCAGCUGGCUCAGAGCAUAAUCCAUAAGAGAGCUUCUGUAUGCUAAUAAGAGAAGACUCAACACUUUGCAGGGCAUUCAAUACCAACCUAACCAAGCUUAAUUCCUAUUAAAAAGCAACAAAAUUGUUAGAGAAUGUGGUCAAAAGUAGAAGUAGUCUCAAUAUACGUCUUUUAUCUAAGCACUAAAGAUAUUCCAUUGUUCUGUAAUUAAUUACUAAGAAUAGAAAUCUGAGAACAUCACAUCGUAAUCUUCCCUAAGAUAAUUUUUUUUGUAACUCAAUACAAUACAUCGAGUACUAAACUCAAAU